GGAAUAUUGGACAAUGGGCGCAACCCUGAUCCAGCCAUGCCGCGUGAGUGAUGAAGGCCUUAGGGUUGUAAAGCUCUUUUGGCGGGGACGAUGAUGACGGUACCCGCAGAAGAAGCCCCGGCUAACUCCCUUCCAGCAGCCGCGGUAAUACGGAGGGGGCUAGCGUUGUUCGGAAUUCCUGGGCGUAAAGCGCGCGUAGGCGGCCUUGCAAGUUGGGGGUGAAAUCCCGGGGCUCAACCUCGGAAUUGCCUUCAGGACUGCUUGGCUCGAGUUCGGGAGAGGUGAGUGGAAUUCCCAGUGUAGAGGUGAAAUUCGUAGAGAUUGGGAAGAACACCAGUGGCGAAGGCGGCUCACUGGCCCGCAACUGACGCUGAGGCGCGAAAGCGUGGGGAGCAAAC
rnacentral:rRNA from 1 species